rnacentral:rRNA from 1 species
GAGACUCUGUGCGCGUGCAUAUCAAUAAGCGGAGGAAAAGAAACUAACAAGGAUUCCCUUAGUAACGGCGAGUGAAGCGGGAAGAGCUCAAAUUUGAAAUCUUCAAGGUUCUACCUUGACGAAUUGUAGUUUAUAGAAGUGUUUUCUGUUAGUGGAGUGGCAAAAGUUCUUUGGAAUAGGACAUCAUAGAGGGUGAGAAUCCCGUAUUUGGUCAUUCCUCCUAGCGUUGUGAUACACUUUCAACGAGUCGGAUUGUUUGGGAAUGCAGUCCAAAAUGGGUGGUAAAUUUCAUCUAAAGCUAAAUAUUGGCGAGAGACCGAUAGCGAACAAGUACCGUGAGGGAAAGAUGAAAAGAAUUUUGAAAAGAGAGUUAAACAGUACGUGAAAUUGUCGAAAGGGAAGCGUUUGACACCAGUGUUGUUUAGUUGAAAAUCAAUUCAAUAAUUUUUGAUUCUAAGUAGUAUUGACUUCAUCAGCUUGCUGCUUUCUUCUCAGAAAUUAUUGAAUGCACUUUUCAGUUAACAAGUCAACAUCAAUUUCUUUUGUUGUAAAAGGGUAAGAGGAAGGUGGCUUGCGCUUCGGCUCGAGUGUUUAUAGCCUUUUAUCUCUGCAAUCGGAGAGAUUGAGGUCUGCAGCGUAGAUCCUUCGGGGUUAGAUACAUUGGUGCUAAGCUAUAGCCUUGUAUAGACAACUUGUUGACUAUGCUCAGUCACUGUAGCUUACUCGCUGAUGCUAUUUUACCUACGCUUAGGAUGUUGACAGCAGUAUAGACUGU